rnacentral:tRNA from 1 species
UCCGAAUUAGUUUAGUGGCUAUGACGGCGCCUUGUCAUCUACGGAUGGUCCAAUGCUUCCUCGCGCAGAACGUACGGCGCAGACCCGGGUUCAAUUCCCGGAUUCGGAG